rnacentral:rRNA from 1 species
CGGAGGAAAAGAAACUAACAAGGAUUCCCCUAGUAACGGCGAGUGAAGAGGGAAGAGCUCAAAUUUGAAAGCUGGUACCUUCGGUAUCCGCGUUGUAACCUCGAGACACGUUUUCCGUGCGGCGCUAUGGACAAGUUCCUUGGAACAGGACAUCGUAGAGGGUGAAAAUCCCGUACUUGCCAUGGAUGUACCGUGCUUUGCGAUACGUGCUCUAAGAGUCGAGUUGUUUGGGAUUGCAGCUCAAAAUGGGUGGUAGACUCCAUCUAAAGCUAAAUAUCGGGGAGAGACCGAUAGCGAACAAGUACCGUGAGGGAAAGAUGAAAAGCACUUUGGAAAGAGAGUUAAAAGUACGUGAAAUUGUCGAAAGGGAAGCGCUUGAAGUCAGCCAUGCCGCUCAGGACUCAGCCUGGCUUUUGCUUGGUGUAUUUCCUGGGUAGCAAGUCAGCAUUGGUUUGGAUCGUCGGAGAAGCAUAGUCGGAAUGUGGCGCCCUCGGGCGUGUUAUAGCCUUCUAUUGGAUACGACGAUCUAGACCAAGG